GAGUCACUCCUUUUAGGUGGUUGCAUUGCCCCAAAGGAGAAGUGGGGUUGGUGGAUUCUACCAGGUUCCAUGGCUCCGGACGUUCCUUGGCUGUGGCUGUAUCACUCCAACCUCUGCCCCCGACUUCACGUGGCUUUUUCCUCUUCUCUCUGUGUGUCCCAUAUAAGGACACUUCACUGAGUUUAGGGCUCACUGGGAUAAUCCGGGAUGAUCUCGUCUCGAGUUCAUCAGUUUAAGAAACAUCUGCGAAGAAGACCUUUCUUCCAAAUUAGGUCACAUUCUCAGGUUGCAGAGGUUAGGGCGUGGACAUAUCUUGUUGGGAGCCACCAUUCAACCCACUACAGAUGGUGAACAAAGCCUCCAACUUUCUGAUUUUCUAUUGAUUGCCAACGAUACUGUCUGUGGGAAAUCCCUGAGAAUGCAGGGAGGCUGAGACAAGGAAAGACGCAUGGGUUGGAACCCAUCAAAUUCCUCCUUCUUAGCAUCUAAUUUGCACUCUCUCCCCACCCUGCGUCCCCUUCUGCCUUAAUUUUGGUUUUGAAAAUUGUAAAUCAGUAAAAUAUUACCUCAAGGCCUAAGAUACCAAAGGCAAUUUAAUACUGUGAAAAAUAAGACACGUCUUUGCUGUUCUGACAUUUAUUAUUCUCACCCUCGUUAUUUUUCCUAAUGAACGUUUCUUUCUCUCCUUACGCUUAUCGGUUUUAACACAUGCCAUUUACCACCUCCGACCCGCUGAUGAGGGGGCUGGGAACCGGCUUACAUCACUGUCAGGGCAGGAGAGGAAAAAUUGCAAAGUAAAUGGCAAGAUGUUGGCGUGAUAGAGAGCAGGGAAAUCUGCAGUGCUUAGGAGAAUGCGGAUCGGAAUGAAAUCCCGCCUGGCAGCGACGGGCACGGAGGAGCCACCAGGAGGUGCGGGCGCCACGUGACUGAUUGUGCCGAUGGGUGAUGAUUAACUCGGCUUAUACUGAUGCAAAUAAUCCUGCAGGAGCCUGCACCGGCUAAUGCAUUUUGGAACUGCGGUUUUCCAUUGAUAGCACAAAAUAGUGUGGAGGAAAGCCAUUUUCAUAAUAUUAAUAAUGGAAUUACAGAAUCAGGUCACUUAAAGGAACGGCGCUGACUCAGCGAAAGCAGCGUGGAGUCGAACGUGGAGAUUAGCACUGAGCAAAACGAAACACAAACCUUCUGCAGCUAUCUCAUUGCAUGAAAACGCACGUCCCCUUUACCUUUUUCUUUUUAAAAGAGAAAAGAGCUUUAAAAAUGACUCUAGCUAAGUACAAUUGUCAGAUGAAUCCACGACAAAGGAACUGUUCAGUGUGCUGAGAGAGGGAGCCCCCAGUAAAAUGUUUUUCCUUUUCCCCCUUUGAUUAAAUAUUGCGUUUGUCUUCCCUGCCCAUCCAUGCCCUGGUUUAAUAGCCAAGUCCUAGAACAAUGUCUGCAAAUGCUUUCUAAAUAAAUGAUUAAAAUUGCAAAUGAA